rnacentral:ncRNA from 1 species
GAGUAGAAAUGGCGCGUCAAGUACCGGCGGAUGGGAGGUUGCCGCCGGGCGAAGGGUUGGAUGGUCGAGCAUCCGCCCGCGGUGCCCUUUCGCAUCCGCUG